rnacentral:lncRNA from 1 species
AUAAGUAAAUAAAUCCAUUAUCUCAAAUUGUUGAUUUUAAAAGCCCUUAAGACUCAAGUAAAUAAAAUCGGCGACUUAUUAUUAACUUGAGUAAAUGCUAUUAAACAAAAUAAAAUUUAGCUACCAAAUAUAAUAUAAGACAAAUUUCAAAUAAAUCGAUGAUCGUAAAUAAAUAAAUGAAUGAUAAAAGAAAGAAAAUGAAAGACGCCAUAAGCGUCCCCCCAAACGUUUUGCUUAUUUUCUUGCUAUCCUUUCUUGCUAUCCGGGACUCUAUGGAAGACGAUAUGAGAUGCUAUGACUCCAUGCUCGGGUAGUGUUGAGUCUCGAGGGAGACAGCUAUGUUGAGUUUCAAAGUAAAACUCUUCAGCUCCGGUAUAUCAUGCAAAAAGAAACCGAGGAUAAAGAUUAGCAAACAACUCAUACUUGGCAAAAAUUCACACAUUAUAUUAAGAAAGAUAAUUUUAGCUCAUUUCCGAAGGUUUGAGCCAAAGAAUAUGUUAUACAUGAAUGCUUUUUAGACCAUUUUCCCAACCGUUAAGGUUUUAAAAAUUCCAAGUAUAUACAUCACAGAUUCAUCUUUAGCAAGGAAUAACUCCUUUACAUAAUUCUUAAAGAAGAACUUAAUAAAAGAUGAUCUUUUCCCACUCAAUUGGACCAAAGGCACAUAUUUAAAACAAAGAAUCUAGAUAAUAUCACUGACACCCAAUUUAAUUAUAUAAACAUGUAUUCCAUUCUAACGUGAAAAACUUUGUGGCUGGUUCUAGAAAAUGCAGAUUGUCUAAACGAAUCAAAAAAAGUUACUAAUCAUUUUAAACAUCAUCGGUAAUAACUAAUUAAAGCAAAAUAUUAAAAGGAGUUCUAUUUUAAGUUGAGUAGAAAUUAGUUAAACUUAUUGGCGUAGUCUCUCAUUAAAAGGAAUUCUAUUUUAAGUUGAGUAGAAAUUAGUUAAAAUUAUUGGCGUGAUCUUUCAGGUAGGGGUAAGACUUGUCUACAUAUUACCCUCCCCAGACCCCACCUGGUGAGAGUAUACUGGGUAAUUGUUGUUGUUAUUGGCGUGGUCUCUAAGUUUCAUGAAAAAUCUAAAGUCCCAUUUUUCUACUACUGGAAAGCUACAAGAAAAAGGUACAUUAACACUUCUCCAAAAUAUGUUCUUUUAACAUAAAUAAAGACCUCUUAACUAAGAAAAUGAAUCCUAGGACAUGUUACUGAACCCGUAACAAAGGACUCUGAAAGAUACUUUUUAAGAGAAAUAAAAUAUACUUUCUAAGAGUUCUAUAAUAUAAAAGGAAAAACUAUGAGACAUGAUAGAAAAGAAGAUUUUAACUUUAUCGGUUCCUGAUCCUAGAUUCGGGAUUUCUAUAAUGACAAUAUACUCCUUUUAAUGAUAUGACCCUAUUAUGAUAUAAUAACAAGUUUCGACAGAGAAAAAUACUUUCAAGCAAGAUAUCAAAUGCAAUAGAGAAUCUAGUUAUAAAUAAUUAAAAGAAAAGCUAUUAGGUUAACAUAUAGGAUUAUUCUUAAACAUUCGAAAAGGCUUUGGAACAUGCUAAUGAGCUUUUAAAUACAAAACUGUUACAGACAUGAUUUUUGUUAUAGCAUUUGAUCUUAACCCUCAAUGUGUCCGAGAAUAGAAUACUUGCCAAAGGCCUCUAAACAAGAUUACUACGUUUAUUAAAAUAAAAUAUUUUAGCCUAACAACAAGGUUUGGUGAUGUCAACAACCAGUCAUUGAUUCACAUAAGCAUAUUAACAAACUAAGGUUUGGUGACGUCAACAACCAGUCAUUGAUUCACAUAAGCAUAUUAACAAACAUUUAUCCUUCAUGUUUUGGUAGUGCAUGUCCAGGAAAAUAAUCUCUCAAGACACAGUUUAUGAUUCUGGUGAAUAAAGGAAAAGGCUUGCAUAUAAUUUCUAACAAAAAAUAGUAUGCAUAAAACAACAAGUUUAAAACAGAAGGAUAUAUAAAAAAGAUAUCAACCAAAAAAGUCAUGCCAGAUGUCUAACGAAUAACAGAGAACUAAAGUCCCAAUGUUGAACACGCCAUAGAUUCUAGAAACGAAAUGCAGAGAAAAGCACUAACCUUGUGCAACGCAGUGAACUGGGGUUGGGCCUUAUAUAUAAUUGAAGUCCGACCUCGAACUUGUUACCAAAAAAUCAACCAAAAAAGUCAUGCCAAUGUCUAACGAAUAACAGAGAACUAAAGUCCCAAUGUUGAAAACGCCAUAGAUUCUAGAAACGAAAUGCAGAGAAAAGCACUAACCUUGUGCAACGCAGUGAACUGGGGUUGGGCCUUAUAUAUAAUUGAAGUCCGACCUCGAACUUGUUACCCUCGGUAGUUGUUAGUCAAUUGGGGAAGAACUUAUGCUCCUUUGAGAUAGUAGAGCUUCGUGCUGAUAACGUGUUAUAAAACAAUAAAAUAACCUGAAAAAUCGAAUAAACCUCUCUCACUGCUAAAAGAAGAGUCAAACAGAGGAAGUGAUCGGUGAAGGAAAAGCAAAAAAUUUGGAGAAAAUAAUAGUAAGUUUCAAAGAAGGAAAAGAUGGUGGCUGAAUAGGGGUAAAGGGGCGGCUAAACUCUAAGGUUUUUCAGAGCGGCUCCCCAAGAAAAGAUCCCCCAAAAUUGUUGAGGAUGCUAGUAUUUAUAGAGGGCUUCUAGGGUUAAAGAGCUUCAAAAUUUGAACUUUGAAAUUCAUACAUUGGGAAGAACUGAUGCUCCUUUCCUCGAAAUAGGCCUGCAAACUUCUGAUCUCAAACUUUGAAGGUCUAAACUUUGUCAAAAAUGGAGAAAAAGGCCAAAAGAAAAUCUGCCAUAGCAGAGGAAGAAAGAGACGACAAAGAGGGAAAGCAAACGUUGGGUUAGAAGAGAGGGAACAGGAAAAGUUAGAUUAGCUGAGUCUACGGCUGAUAUUAAAUAAAAAUAAUAAAAGGAAAAUAAAUAGAUGCUGUUAUUUUGGAGCACUCUAGAAACUUGAAGACCCGAUCUCAACCAUUAAUUCAAGAAAAUGGACUUGUUCCGAUGGUGACACGGGGUAAGGGUGUGGUAGUAUGUGAAGAGAUGAGAAAGGCGUGUUGUCACGGACCGGAUAACUCCUAACUAUCUUCCGUGCGGCCUUAGUCACAAUCCGCCCCUGCGAUUGCUCAGCCUUUCCUCGAAAUAUUGCCACAACAAAGCUAAGAGAAACUAAGAAGAGAAGCUUGCAAGAAUGCUUUGUAUUAAACAAGAGAAAGCUUUGUACAAGUAUUGGAUUGCUUGAAUGUUUCUUGGAUGCCAAUGCCAAAUGCCUCUAGCCUAUUUAUAGUUGCUAGAGUCCCAAAUCAACGGCUAAGAUAUAUUCUAAUCAAUGGCUAAGAUCAAAGCUCUAGAGAGUUCUACAAAUCUCUACAAAUCGCUACACCUAGUAGAAUAUACAAGAUGGGACUAGAAGGGUCUAGAUUCUUCCAUUGGAAGGA